AGAGUUUACGUGAUCUUCGGAGGCCAGAGGAUCGAAAUUGGAGACUUGAAGACCCUCAAACACAUGAAGAGUGUUACUCUAAUAUUUAGCAAGUUCCUUGGGAAGACACAAAACCAUCACCACUAGAAAAUGCCUUUGACCAAGCCUUGGACAGAUGAAGACAAAGCGGAGCACACAUCACGAAAAGUGUCUGUCUCAUCCGCAGCCUGGCCUACCCUUCCCCCAUCAAGGUGGAGAAAAUCAACUUUCCAUAAAUUAUGCAGCCUUAAAGCAAGUGCUUCACUAUGCUGGGAGUUAACAACCUCAUUUGUAAAAUCAGUGGAUGAGACUAUCCUAGAAAAUGACCUUUAAGACCUUUUCCGGGUCUAACUUACACUUUACUAAGAGUGCCGAUUAAAUAAACUUGUGAUGAAAAAGCUUUUUUGGAAGAUGGACGCAAAUUAAUCCAACCUUCUUAUUUUACAGAAAGAAAAACUGAAGGCCAAAGAAAUGAGACAAGGUCACGCAGCUAGCUGACCACAGGCUCAGGGAUACAGCCCUGGGCUGAGCUCACACACUCCAGGGCUUCCUGCACCUUGGCCCACUACCUAGUCAAAAGUCCCCUCCAAAAAGGUAUCACAUGAUCAAUGUUGCUCCACUUCAAAGCAGUUCCCUCCAAAACCCUGCAGUUUUAGAACAGAGCAUUAAAGGAAGUCACCCAAAAAGAAAGACAGCUGUAGCAAAAGUCUAAGGCUUACGGAUAAGAAAGUGACACCUGGUCAAGCUACUCCAGUUCCCCAGCCCACCUUCCUGUGCUCCUCAAACCAAAUCCAAGACCUCCUAGGAUCUAACCAGCACAAGUUUCAGAAAGUCUGUGUCAUCUAAGUUUACAAUGUCUACCCUCAGGAAACUUGGCUCUUCAAACACACAGGAGACUGCCCCUUUUGCACGUGGAAAGCAGUGAGAGGCCAGUUCCCUGAAGCAAGGUAACCAAUGGCAAGAGGAAUGAGCAGAAGCACUGGCCUGAGGGCUCCACAGGAGAGCCCUGUGCAGAUGGGGACCAAGUGGAGAACUUGCCAUGUCUAUUUCUGCAUUGUUCCAUAUUCCAGUGGAUAGCCCAGGUAUGAUUUCAGUUUAUGAAAAUGUCUUGCAAAGAAUCACAUUUUUGGGUCUUUUCAUAUCGUAUUUACUGAUUCAAAUCUAGUGUUUUCAUUUUGUGCCAGUUACUUUCAUAGCCCAGACCUGCAACACAAGCUUAAUCAGUCAUUUAAGACAUUCUGAAACUAUUUAAAGGUAUAAAAUUGAGUAACUUACUUAAUUCUCAGGCCAACAUUUAAUAAUACAUCAUAACCUCAAACACAGCUGGGCACGGCGGCUCAUGCCUGUAAUCUCAGCACUUUGGGAAGCCAAAGUAGACAGAUCAACUGAGGUCAGGAGUUCAAGACCAGCCUGGGCAACAUGGUGAAACCCUGUCUCUGCUAGCCAGGCAUGGUGGCACAUGCCUGUAAUCC
rnacentral:lncRNA from 10 species